rnacentral:rRNA from 1 species
GGCGAACGCUGGCGGCGUGCCUAAUACAUGCAAGUUGAGCGCUGAAGGUUGGUACUUGUACCAACUGGAUGAGCAGCGAACGGGUGAGUAACGCGUGGGGAAUCUGCCUUUGAGCGGGGGACAACAUUUGGAAACGAAUGCUAAUACCGCAUAAAAACUUUAAACACAAGUUUUAAGUUUGAAAGAUGCAAUUGCAUCACUCAAAGAUGAUCCCGCGUUGUAUUAGCUAGUUGGUGAGGUAAAGGCUCACCAAGGCGAUGAUACAUAGCCGACCUGAGAGGGUGAUCGGCCACAUUGGGACUGAGACACGGCCCAAACUCCUACGGGAGGCAGCAGUAGGGAAUCUUCGGCAAUGGACGAAAGUCUGACCGAGCAACGCCGCGGGAGUGAAGAAGGUUUUCGGAUCGUAAAACUCUGUUGGUAGAGAAGAACGUUGGUGAGAGUGGAAAGCUCAUCAAGUGACGGUAACUACCCAGAAAGGGACGGCUAACUACGUG